rnacentral:rRNA from 1 species
AUUGAACGCUGGCGGCAUGCCUUACACAUGCAAGUCGAACGGCAGCACGGGUGCUUGCACCUGGUGGCGAGUGGCGAACGGGUGAGUAAUAUAUCGGAACAUGUCCUGUAGUGGGGGAUAGCCCGGCGAAAGCCGGAUUAAUACCGCAUACGAUCCACGGAUGAAAGCGGGGGACCUUCGGGCCUCGCGCUAUAGGGUUGGCCGAUGGCUGAUUAGCUAGUUGGUGGGGUAAAGGCCUACCAAGGCGACGAUCAGUAGCUGGUCUGAGAGGACGACCAGCCACACUGGGACUGAGACACGGCCCAGACUCCUACGGGAGGCAGCAGUGGGGAAUUUUGGACAAUGGGCGAAAGCCUGAUCCAGCAAUGCCGCGUGUGUGAAGAAGGCCUUCGGGUUGUAAAGCACUUUUGUCCGGAAAGAAAUCCUUGGCUCUAAUACAGUCGGGGGAUGACGGUACCGGAAGAAUAAGCACCGGCUAACUACGUG